rnacentral:rRNA from 1 species
UUUCCGGUUGAUCCUGCCGGAGGCCACUGCUAUCGGGGUUCGAUUAAGCCAUGCGAGUCGAGAGGGUUUAGACCCUCGGCGGACUGCUCAGUAACACGUGGAUAACCUGCCCUAAGGUGGAGGAUAACCCCGGGAAACUGGGGAUAAUACUCCAUAGAUUAGAGAUACUGGAAUGUUCUUUAGUCAAAAGUUCCGGCGCCUUAGGAUGGAUCUGCGGUCGAUUAGGUUGUUGUUGGGGUAACGGCCCAACAAGCCUGUAAUCGAUACGGGUUGUGGGAGCAAUAGCCCGGAGAUGGAAUCUGAGACAAGAUUCCAGGCCCUACGGGGCGCAGCAGGCGCGAAAACUUUACAAUGCAGGAAACUGUGAUAAGGGAACCCCGAGUGCCCGUAUACGCGGGCUGUCCAGGUGUUUAAAAGUCAUCUGAAGAAAGGGCCGGGCAAGACCGGUGCCAGCCGCCGCGGUAAUACCGGCGGCUCGAGUGGUGGCCACUAUUAUUGGGCUUAAAGCGUCCGUAGCUGGACUGAUAAGUCUCUUGGGAAAUCCGCCGGCUCAACCGGCGGGCGUCUAAGGGAUACUGUUGGUCUAGGGACCGGGAGAGGUGAGAGGUACUCCGGGGGUAGGAGUGAAAUCCUGUAAUCCCCGGGGGACCACCGAUGGCGAAGGCAUCUCACCAGAACGGCUCCGACAGUGAGGGACGAAAGCUGGGGGAGCAAACCGGAUUGGAUACCCGGGUAGUCCCAGCCGUAAACUAUGCGCGUUAGGUGUGCUGGUGACCACGUGUCACCGGGGUGCCGAA